GACAGAGGGUGCAAACGUUGUUCGGAAUUACUGGGCGUAAAGCGCGCGUAGGUGGCCUCGUAAGUCCGCUGUGAAAGUCAAAGGCUCAACCUUUGAAAGCCGGUGGAUACUGUGAGGCUAGAGUACGGAAGAGGCGAGUGGAAUUCCUGGUGUAGCGGUGGAAUGCGCAGAUAUCAGGAGGAACACCAAUAGCGAAGGCAGCUCGCUGGGACGUUACUGACACUGAGGCGCGAAAGCGUGGGGAGCGAACAGG
rnacentral:rRNA from 1 species